rnacentral:tRNA from 1 species
UCCUUGGUGGUUCAGUGGUAGGACUUGGCACUUUCACUGCUGUAGCCCGUGUUCAACCCCUGGUUGGGGAA